rnacentral:rRNA from 1 species
AACGUAGGAGGCGAGCGUUAUCCGGAUUUACUGGGCGUAAAGCGCGUGCAGGCGGUAAGGAAAGUUGGAUGUGAAAGCUCCCGGCUUAACUGGGAGAGGUCGUUCAGAACUACCUAACUAGAGUAUGGGAGAGGGAAGUGGAAUUCCGGGUGUAGUGGUGAAAUGCGUAGAUAUCCGGAGGAACACCAGUGGCGAAAGCGGCUUCCUGGUCCAAGACUGACGCUCAGACGCGAAAGCUAGGGUAGCAAACGGGAUUAGAGACCCCGGUAGUCCUAGCCGUAAACGAUGUGGACUUGGCGUCGGCGGGUUUAAAUCCGUCGGAGUCGAAGCAAACGCGAUAAGUCCACCGCCUGGGGACUACGGCCGCAAGGUUAAA